AUGACCUACUCUACUCAGGUGCGCAGAGGCAGGGUUUCCAGCCGGCUGCAGCAAGAAGAUGAUGGAGGGCACUAUACUACUAGCGCAGGAGUGCUUCUGUUUCCAGCUAGUAGCUACCUACCUAUAUGGUGCUGUUGUGAAAAAAAUAAUAAGAGAUGGACAUGUCGUGUGAUGAGUAGUUACCUAUCUGCUAGUAGUAUAACUAGUACCAGUAAGCUUGAUUCGAUGCUGGGUGAGAGCUGCCACUAUGGUACUUUGGUUAUUUACCUUACCGUUGGCUGUGGGCACAUAUUAUUUGACGUACGCUCUGAUGAAGGUUUUCUAUUCUAUGUGUAUGAUAUAUCAUUUUCGCUGCCCUCUGCUUUAUAUAUGCAAUUAACUUGCUUGUGUCUGUUGGGCUAA
rnacentral:rRNA from 1 species